AGGAUAUAAAUAAUGCUGAAGCAGAGUUACGUUUUUUUUGUUGUUGUUUUUUUUGUUUUUGUUUUUUUAGGUUUCCGUGUGUUUCUAUUGAGCUGCUCAGUGCCCGGCUUAGAAGACCAGGAAAAGGAGUCACAGGUCGUAUGCUGGAGGCUUGAGCCGCGGCACCGUGGCGCGGCUCGCCUCGCUGCGGUUGGUGGUGGCGGUGGACAUUGCAGCGCGGCUGGAGGGGUAGGAAGAAGAAGAUAGUUUUGGGAUAGAUAGAGGUGAGAUAUUCCUGCACAUCCUCUGGUGACCCCAGAAUGAGGGGGACUCGCUGGUGAAUUGCCUCGGGCUUCACGUCCAGUACAGGCUGGGUCCCCGUGGUCGCCAAGCCUCCUGCCUGCUCAAUGAUGUAGGCCACGGGAUUGCAUUCAUACAGGAGCCGGAGCUGUGGAGGAACAGAGGCAGGACAAAUUCACCAAGAGCCUAGCAACAUGAAGAGAGAUGCCAGGAAGAAGAGAGAAGCCAGGAAACAAGCCAACCGCACAAUCCCCACAUCAGAGCAGGAGAAGAUGGGGGCCUGCUGGCAGAGCUGGGGCUUGGCUGUGGUCACUCUGAACCUGCUCUUUGGUGUUUUCAUGAGUGGUGGGAAGAAUAGGGACCAUAUGGAGCCCACACAGGAAGCUCUAGCAGUAACACAGCAAGCAGGAAGACAAUUCUAAGGAAGCAGCCCAUAGUCUUCUUUCUUUUCCUGUGCAUCUUCCACUGUCAGUGAGGCUCCUCAUUUAUGGUGAACCCAACUGUGUGUAUCUCCCAAGUUCUCACCCGCAGAUUAAUGUUUUCAGGAAGAUAGGCCAUCAACAGUGAGAGGAAGAAGUUACAUUGUCGUAUGAGGGAUGCAUUUUAACCAUUAAUUUGUGGUACAGGCUGGGCGCAGUGGCUUAUGCAUGUAAUCCCAGCACUUUGGGAGGCCGAGGUGGGUGGAUCACGAGGUCAGGAGAUCGAGACCAUCCUGGCUAACAUGGUGAAACCCCGUCUUUACUAAAUAUACAAAAAAUUGGCCGGGCGUGGUGGUGGGCACCUGUAGUCCCAGCUACUCGGGGGGCUGAGGCAGGAGAAUGGUGUGAACCCGGGAGGCAGAGCUUGCAGUGAGCCGAGAUCGCGCCACUGCACUCCAGCCUGGAUGACAGAGCAAGACUCCAUCUCAAAAAAAAAAAAAAUGUGUGGUACAGUUAUUUUGUUUAUGUUAGUGAUUCAAUCAUAGAAACUAUUCAGUUUCUGGUAUCCCACUCUUACCUGGAGAAAAGAGGAAGCCGCUUUCAUCAGACACUGUGUUCACCCAGCGUAAGGAAAAAGUUGGUAAAAUCUAAAGGAAUCCUCAGACAUAUUAAUAAAAGUGUGCCCAGUCCCUCUCCACAACCCAUGUAGCCACUGUGGUCAGUACCUGCAGGGCAUCUCUCAAAUACCCCUAUGUCUAGUUCUGGUGAUAUCAGUCACUAAAAAUGGGAUCAGCUUGUGGCAGAUACCACCUUAAAUGCUCAUGUCUGUCUCAGUCACUAGGAGGAAAACCAGAGCCUGGAAACCAGAUCCAUUUUGAUGAAUGUCCAAGAUUUUGAGAGUGAAAAACUCCAAAAUGACAGCUCACAGUUGGCAGCUAGGCCAGAAGGUUCCCAAGGAACAUCAGAGGUAUUCCCGGAAUAUAAAGAGGCAAGGCCACAGAAUGACUCCACAUAGCAGAGGUGUUGCUACGAGAGGUGACACUGUCCCUGUCAGAAACAAGUCAGUGCCAAGGAGACUCAAUAACAAAAACAACUAAACAAUCCUUUCCUGCCUAACAUGAGUGACAACUGCUUCUAUAUCAGUGACUUCAAUCUCUCUGCCUCCUAGAUAAAAAUGAUUAAGGUUCCUUGGGAUUUUCUACAUAGACCAUCAUGUCGUCUGCAAGAACAGUGUUAUUACCUGCUUUCCAAUCUGUAUGUGUUUCAUCAUCUUCCUUGCCUUAUUGUGCUGGCUACAACUUUCAGGAUUACAUAUGUUGGGUAACAGUGGCGAGUGAGGACAUCCUUGCUUUGUUACUGAUCUUAGAGUAUAAGCAUUCAGUCUUUCACCAUUAAAUGUAAUGCUAGCUGUAGAUGUACUUGAUAGAGUUAAGGGACGCUCCUCCUCUAUUUCUUGUUUUCUAAGACUUUCUGUUUUUUCAGAGACAGGGUCUUGCUCUGUUGCCCAGGGUGGAGUGCAGUGGCUUGGUCAUGGCUCACUGCAGCCUCCAACUCCUGGGCUUAAGUCAUCCUCCCAUCUCAACUUCUUGAGUAGCUGGGACUACGGGUAUGCACUACCACCCCCCUCUCCAGCUAAUGUCUUUUUUGAGAUGGGGGUCUUGCUAUGUUGCCCAGGCUGGUCUCAAACUCCUGGCCUCAAGCAAUCCUCCUACCUCAGCAAGUUUCUUUUUUAAAUAAUGAAUGAGUGUUGAAUUUGUUCAAAUGUUUUUUCUCCAUCAAUAGAUACGAUUAUGUGAUUUUUCUUCUUUAGCCUGUUGAUAUGGUGGAUUACACUGACUGAUUAUGAAUACUGGAUCAGUCUUCCAUCACCAGAAUAAACCCCACUCAGCCAUGGUGUAUAAUUUAUUUUAUGUAUUGUUGAAUUCUAUUUGCCAAUAUUUUGUUAAGAGUUUUUGCAUUUAUUGAUAAGGAAUAUUGGUCUGUGGUAUUUUUUUGAACAAUCUUUGUCUGGUUUUUGUAUCAGGAUAACACUGGUUUCAUAAAAUGAAUUGGGAAGUGUUCCUUCCUAUUAUCUUUUCUGGAAGAGACUGAAUAAUCUGUGAAUAUUUGUUAUGUUUUUCCAGUAAACCAUCUGAGCCUGGAGAUUUCUUUUCUUGGGCAUGAGUUUCUUAAUAGUAUUGAGCCCUGUAGAUAGCCAUUCAAAGUAUCUAUUUUAUAUUGGGUGAGUUAGAGUAUUGUAGUUUUUGAGACAUUGGUUCGUUUCAUCUAAGUUGUCAAAUGUAUGCAUGUGGAGUUGUUUCUAAUAUUCUCUUUUUAUCCUUUUGAAAAACAAGGCAACCUGAGAUUAACAAUCUACUGCAUAAAUACACAAUUCUCUGAUCAUUUUCCCAAGAUAAAUUCCCAAUAAUUAAAUAAUUGGGUAAAAAUCUUUUGAUACAUAUUGAAAAAUUGUCCUCCAGAAAGAGUGCAUCAAUUUAUACUUUUACCACUAAUAAUAAGAGAGUUCAUUUUAAUUCAGCCUGGUAAACACAAGAUAGCAUUGUCUUUUCAACUUUGUCAAUUUGACAGGUGGACAAAAUGACAUCUCUUUUGUUUUAACUUCUAUUUUUUAUGAGUCAGGUAAAACCUUUUAUAUGUUUAUUUUGACCAUUUUUAUUUUGUAAGUUGUCUCUUUCAUGUCUUGCUUAUUUUUCUAUCAGGAUAUUCAACUUCUUGUUUAUUUUAAUAGCUCUUUAUAUAUAAAGGAUAUUAAUGUCUUGUAUAUGUCACAAAUAUUUUCCUCGAUUGUCAUUGCCUUCUUAUUUAUGGUGCCUGUUUUUGCAGUGCAGUUUUAAAAUUAAAAUUAUUCAUGACAUUCCA
rnacentral:lncRNA from 1 species